rnacentral:lncRNA from 1 species
GGUACGGUAACCGACUUUUUUGUCCCAAACCGUAAACCAUCCCGACUUAUGUCGGUAGGUUAAUCUUGAUACCAAUACCGACUGAAAAAGUUGGUAUCCCGAACCUUCAGUAACCGAACUUUCGGUUGGUAUCGGUACGGUUAGGCUUAGAACCGAACUUUAUUGGGCCUCUUAAUCUGUCACUGUUUUAAAUGAAAAAUAGGCCCGGACUAAAAAAAAAAAAACAACAACAGCAAAGUAGUGAUUCAAAGUUUCAAACACUGUAGAAACCAAAUAUUUUCCUGUGUUUCACAUGUUAAAUUCCAACCCAAAUAACAAAAUUACAAAUCCAUAAAGUCACAAACUCAAUCUGACAGUCUCAGACUCUCAGUGUCUCUCACAAUCAACAAACUGACAAAGUUACAAAGGCACCCUAUUAGCCUAACUGCCCAAGUGACAAACUGCAAGGCUGCUGUCUGCAACUGUUGAACUGCACAUUCUAAUAUUAAGUUACUAACACAGUAUUGACUAUUGACAGCAUCACAAUAACACUAAAGAAAUGAAAACCUAAUAGCAAUGCAUCAAAGAGGCAAAGACCAAAACUUGAAACAAAUUACAAAUGCACAACUGCACUCACAAGUCACAACUCUAAAAUCAUUAAAAUACACACUAUUGACAACUGACAACACCAAACCCUGAAACAAAUGCACAACACCCUAAAACAAUGAAUCUUCAAGUCACAAUUUAAUGAUUUUACUCAAAACAAAAGUCACAUGUCACAUGUCACAACUCACAACUCACAACUCACAAGGCACAAGCAUUAGUUUAAAGUUUCAACUGAAAUAGACAAAUAGUAAAGACUAAAAGAGUUUAAACUUUAAAGUCUUAACAAAAAAAUAACUAAAACAUCAUGACAAAUUCAGAAACCAUCCAUUUUUAAACACACUGCUAGCCUGCUGCUACACACUGGUUUGCCCAGAACUUUCAGUAAGCUCAAUUGGGGUUGAUGCUACCUCCUGUCCUUGAUUGAAACCGUUUUCUGCAAAAUAAAUAAAAUUCACAUGGUUAAAAAAUAAGGUAUGUGAAAAAAUAGCAAAUUCACACUGGUUUCUAAUAAUUACCUCUCUCAAUCUCCUCCAACUCAGCGUAAAUGGUGAGCUCAUCUUCACUGGGAUCCUUGUAUAGGUUAGGUUGAUCACAUUUUAACCAGUCGCUUGUGCACACCAGGGCCUCUACCAUUUUUGGUGUCAAUGAUGCUAAAAAAGGAUCGACCACUCUUGAUCCUAAACUAAAUGCAUUUUCAGAGGCCACUGUUGAGCAAGGAAUAGCAAAUAUAUCCUUGGCUAGCUUUGUCACACCCCAAUUUUCGAAAGAUAAUUUUUCAAAAUUUUUGGCAUGAUAUAACCUAAAAUAUUAUAAUUCCAUAACCUGUUUCAAAAACGAACUUCAUAGGAACGAAAUUUAAUGCGGAAAUGUAAUUCACACAACUCAACACUGAGUUAAAUAUUACAUUUCUUUAUUUACAUAAACUUGAAGGUCAAGACAUGAGUUUAAUACUGUCUAAUCCCAAAUAUAAAAAUAUACAGAGUACAGCAAAACCCACAAAAAAAAAAAACAAUGCCACUAACCUUCCGCCUCAACCCUGCUGAUCCUCACCUGCAGGUCUAACCCCUACACCAAGAAAUGGUGCACCGGGUUAUAAACAACAAACCCGAUAAGCUAAAAAGCCCGUAUAAGUAAUUCUCAAAAUAAACACAACACCUCCAACAACCCAUUAAAACAUAAGAGUAAUUUAUAUCAAUAAUUAAAACCAAAAUUUCAACACUAUCUCAAUUAACAUGUACCCAUGAGUCUCAAGUAUUAAUAAAUACCCCUCAUGACCUACAACAAUAAAAUGUGUACCCAUGGGUCCCAGAUACCAUACAGUAUCUCCCAUGACCUACAUUGACAGACGGAUUAGAGCUCUAUUCCUAACCGCAACCAAUCACCCGGCCAAAGGCUUGGAACUAGGUUUGACUGUCUAAUAUCAAACACAAAAAUAAUAAAUAGCAUCUUAACCGCAACCAAUCACCCAAUUAAGGGCUUGGAACCCGGUUUGGCUAUUUAUCCAACAAUCAUAAUAUCACAACAUUAUCCUCAACAACACAAUAUCACAUCAUAAAUUAUAUCCUACCACAUGGAUAUAUUUACAUGAACAAUUAUAGAUAUUCCACAAGAAUAAUCUAUCAAAAAUCAAUAAAAUUUAUGAUCACAUGAAUCUCAAAAUAGCAUUUAAAGAAAACUUGUUUUAUCUUACCCAUGAGCCGUUGACGAUCAAGCUCAUCUAUUUUUAAAAACAAUUAAAAGCAUAUAUUUAAAUCCAACAUUAUCAUCAUUAUCAUCAUAUGACCAUAUUAACAUUAGGUUCAAAAUUGAACCUUGGUGAGAUUUACUCACCUCAAUAGCCCGCUGCGUUUCCGCAAAACACAAGAGCAAGCCAACUCACAAUUUCACAAAUCACCUAAAAUAACACACAUAUUAACCUUAGUAACAAACACAACAUGGAUCAAAGUACUCGUAACUUAAAGGUUGCCCCCAAGAAGGGCAAUCCUUCCUCCAAGACCUCCCAAGGUCAUUGAACACUCAACAACAACCAAACUACCAUCAAGAUCAAACUUUCUAAGUUUCCGAUCUAAUGAACACCAUGAACAACUUAGCACCUAAGAUGCAAAGACAAAACCUAAUCAACACUUAGCCUUCACCCACCAUCAACACCCUCACAACUACACAACAAGCUAACACAACAACCAAACCCACUCAUACUGGCCAGACACGCCGCCACACA